AUUGGCGGUUUUGUCGAAACCAAAGACGGAUUAAUGGCAGUCACGUGUGCUCACGUCAUUUUAGAGGAAAGCCAAUUACAAAACUUGAGCGCCGAUCCUGAAACUGAAACUGAUUUGCCACACAUAAAAUGCUUCCAAUCCCCUAACACAACUAAUGAAAUUGAUGUGAUCGGAACACUAGCAGAUGCGAAAUACAAUGAACUGGUAGAUGUAGCAUUUGUGAAAGUUGUUCGACCAAGAUUGCCGACAAAGGGCGUUUUCCCAGACGUUAAAAACACAGUGGAGUGCCAGAGUCCUUGCAGUCACUGCUAUGGAAUAGCUAAUGGUUUGUGUUACAAUACUGGUGAGGUAUUACGUCCAGAAGAAGUGACAAAAGAUAGCGUCAUAGUUAAAUAUGGAGCCGCUUCAGGUUUCACAAGAGGACGCAUUAGCCAAAUAUCAACUUUCGCAGAAUUUACAGGAAAUGCCACGAUGAGAGAACAAAUCGAAGUUGUUUCUGAUGACAUCAUUCCCUUCAGUGAAGCUGGAGACUCGGGAUCUCUAGUAUUUAGCUUAGAUGGGAACAGAGAGAUGAAAGCAAUUGGUAUUUUAGUAGGUGGUACUGAAAGAAAAGAUUUCGUUACUCCAAUAACGGAAGUAUUCAAAAGUUUUGGUAUGGAAAAACCAUAUUUUCUUAAACCAUUUCAUCCAAUAACUCAGUACAUGAAUACACGUUUUUAAGAUUCUUCUUAAAAUUUAGUGUGCAAUUUUGAUUUACCACUACAACAUCAAAAACAUUUCGUAGACUGCUUUCAAUUUAACUACCGAAAUGAAGUUGUAUUGUUUUAAAGCACCUGUUAGCAGAUGUUUCUAAACGGCUGUAUAUGUGGUCCAGUUGCUUCUUGAUUGUCAAGAAUAAGCAUUUUUAUGAAAAUAAUAAUAUUAUAUAUUCAUUUUGCUUCGAAAUGUUAACGUAAUAAGCUUCCGUGAUAUCAAAGAAUUCGGCAUAUUUCGUUGUGGUGUAUGGUCUUUUUUAUCAAUGGUCACAAAACAGUCUAAAUAAAAUAAGCCUCAAGAUUAUGACAUUUUACCAAGCUGGAAUAUCAUUUGAAAUGUUAAUUGAAAUAUACCACAACUUAAUGAUUCUUUACCAAGCUGUUAUACAUGCAUGUUUUAGGCAUUUCUACUUAACAGAUAUGUUAAAUAUGAAAUAUCUGUAUUUUCAGACAGUCUGUGAAUCAAUUAUUGUGCUACUUAAGCCGUAGUAGGGUAACUGACCAUAAAAUGAUGCACAUUGUAAUUUUAGUUUUCACUGUGGUAUUUUUGAGUAUGAUUUCACCAUUUUAUGUCACGGUAUAGGACUUGAAUAUUAAAACGGGGAGAAACUGUGCAGCCAGACCGGGACUCGGGACACAUGUUUGAGUUGUGUACUAACACAAACGCUUAAGUAGCAUGUAGAAAGAGAUAUAUUUCAAUAAUAAUUUUAUUUGUAAUUGGUGUUUGUGUAAAAAAUAUGUAUGUCGAAAGCUUAGAUAGAUAUAAAUUGUCGUUGCACGUAAAAAAGGUUUGAAUAGCUUGUUUCAUAAGGCUACGUCAACCUGCGCCAUAAUAAAGACAAUGUAAACAAUUACUAACAAUGAUAGUGUCGUUUUGGCAGCGAACAUUUUAAAUAUGACGUUUGUUUACUUGUUAAAUCAAUCGUUUGACAUCAGUAUUCAAUUAUCUAUUUAUGAAAUUGGUUAUCGCAUUUGACUUAAAGAAAGUUUAAAAAAUGGAACAAAUUUUCACCCUCUUAUUUUUACAGUCACUGUCAUGACAAAUACAGUUACGAAAUAAAAAUGAAAUAGCUUAAUCAAGAAUAAGGAAUAAAAUAUCGAAAGUGAUUUAUACCAGUCGAAAAACUGAUAUAUCAAUCGCCCUGAAUAUAUUAGUAUAUUUAAAAGUACAUGUCACGUAUAUAAACAACUCAGAUUUCUUACACUAUCAUAUAAAUAAUCUGAAAUGCACACAAUCUAAACUCUGUCAUACAGUUAGAAAGUGCUAGAUUAAAUGUGUUUAUUUCUCCUUCACGCACAUAAUUACUUGUUUUUCUAGGCACAAUAAUUAGUCUUAUUACUUAACACUGCAAAUAGCUAUUAGUUUUGCUUUGUGAAUGCCUGUUUCUUAUGUUUAAUCUUGUAAUAUUACACUGUUUCAUCCAUAAUGCUUUGUUUGAAUUGUAUGUACACUUUUGCAAGUUAAAAUGUCAGAUAGCAUAAUGUAUGUGUAUAUGUUAGUGCAGGAGUUAACAACUUUCGAGUAAAUGCUAUGUUGGUAUGAUGCAGAUGUUUAAUAUAAAUCUUACAUGUUUGUACCAUUAUGAUUGACAAAAUAUAUACAAAACAAAACGCGUACUUUUGCAGCACAUUUUGAAGUUAACACUAAACGUCUUUUGACAGUUGAAAGUGUAUGUUUUACCGAAUUAUACUUAUGGGUAUAAAAUCUCUAAAUAGCCAAAUCACAUCAUGCUUUUUUUUAAAUGUAAUUAUUUACAACAUGGAAACUUUUCCUUUGAAAUGAAACUACAAAUUUUGCUGAUGACUAUUAAAAUAAUAUUAUGUUGCAGACUUAAAGGUACUAGUAAGUUGAAGGAAAAACAAUCGUUAUUAAUCGUUGUGUUUUAAAAGAUAAUAUUGUAGAUUUUAUUAUUAUAGAUUACCCUGAUGGCAUAUAGUGUUUGUGCUGUAUUUCCGUUGCUCAGUCCGUUUGCCAGUAUACACGUCACAUUUCCAGAUGUAUUUAACUCCUUGCACAGUUUUCCCCUAAUUUCUAUAAUUAAUAAACAUGAAGUGGACAUGAUUUUUUUUGAGGUCUGGCCAUUUAUUCUCUCUAUUUUUUGGUGGAGGAGUGGGGGUGUGGGGACUUUAGAAUAUUACAAAUACACGUGUUGUUUGUGUACACAACACCUUAAGAAAAACAGUUUUCAUUUUGCACAUCAAAUAAAAGUUUGUAUGCAUCACCAUCAUAAAGUUAUCAUGCGCAUAUUUUUCGAACUUAUAUCCUUUAUUUUUUCGAGCAAGGCUCCCGUUUUAAAACCCAGUGUAUUAAAUGCUUACUAUUUCCAACCAAUUGAAUUUAAUUGUGUUAUAAAUCCUUAGCAUUAACAGGACAUACUGUAAGAACUUUCAUGUUCAUUUAUAUUUAUAAGUUUUGUCCUUAGCAUAAAUUUGACAUGCGUAUAUUGUUGGGACGUUUGUAGUCUUUUGUAAAAGGCAACUUUCUUAAGCAUUUUCAGGGGGCUUUUUACAUCAUAUGAUGAUAUCAUUCUUGUUUUAUACAUGCUUUAUAUGCUAAAAACAAUGAACGUCAUGUUUUACCUAUUUCAUAUUAAUUUAUUUUAAUCAGAAUACGUGUGUGCUCAUAUUUUUCAUCGUUUGCUUAAAAUGUGUUAUACUGUAGAUAGAUUUACUAAAUAAGAGCAUAAUGUAUAUUUUCGCUUUGAUUUUUGUCUUAAAAGAUAAACAUUUUUAAACGUUGAAAUAUUAGCAUGUAUUUAAACUACAUCGAUUUACAGUAAACAAUAAUGAAAUUAAUUAGAAUAAAGUUUUUAGUUGCCUAUAAGCCAUUUCUACAUAAUAUUGAAUUAUAAUGUAGGAAACUAUCAUCAAAUUUGAGUGGACGUGAUUUUGAAUAAAUCAAACCUUUAAAUAAUUAGGUACUUUUGUUUCAUUUUGAAGAUUAGUUGUUCUAUAUCACUGGUAUCUAACCAAUUGAAGCUAAACUUUUUAUUACAAUUCAACAUUUAGCCUGUUUACCUUUACACAUUUCGAGUUAUAGUCAUAUUGGUAUUGAUGGAAACGAGGAUGCUGAUACUGCAGCAAAGAAAUCCCAUUUAUUAUCACAAUCUAAUAUGAAAUAACCAUAUACUGAUUUUAGGCCAAAUGUCAAGAAAUACAUUUUAUCUAAAUGCAAUCGUCAUGGAACAAUGCUUCGUUCAAUAAACUUCAUGAUGUUAAACCUACUUUAAGUGAAUGGCACCAAGGGAACAGAUCUGUUCGCAGGGAGGAAGUUGUUCUUUCUCGCUGUCGAAUAGGUCAUACCCGUUUGACUCAUUCUUAUCUUUUGAACAAAGAAGAACAACCUGAAGGUGUACCAUGUCAGACACCGCUUACUAUUAAACAUAUUUUAGUCGACUGUGUGGACUUCGCUCCACAGCGCAGUACAUACUAUGACGUUCAAAUCUUUGAAAGAGUUGUUUGAAAACAUUUCAGUCAGCAAUAUAUUGUCCUUUUUAAAGCAGAUAGGCAUUUAUCACACAGUCUGAAAUCAUAUAUUUUUCUUGACACAUUUUGCAAUAUUGUUGUUUGUCACUAAUAUUUUAACCCUUUAUAUACGUUUUUGCACAAAUGUUUUUAGACGUGCUUUACAAUUUACUUUACAUUCUAUAUGUUUAGACAUUUUUACAUAAUUGUUUUUAGAGAUGCUUUACAAUUUACGUUUUCAAAGCGCUUGUUUUCGGCGAUUUAUGGUCUUUUUGUGUCGGUUCGCCGUAAAAUCGAACUCACUCACUCACCCAAGUUAUAGUUAUAUGCUAGAACAAGGGAACAAAUUGAGAACAAAUUUGACUUCGCUCCACAGCGCAGUACAUACUAUGACGUUCAAAUCUUUGAAAGAGUUGUUUGAAAACAUUUCAGUCAGCAAUAUAUUGUCCUUUUUAAAGCAAAUAGGCAUUUAUCACAAUGUCUGAAAUCAUAUAUUUUUCUUGACACAUUUUGCAAUAUUGUUGUUUGUCACUAAUAUUUUAACCCUUUAUAUACGUUUUUGCACAAAUGUUUUUAGACGUGCUUUACAAUUUACUUUACAUUUUAUAUGUUUAGACAUUUUUACAUAAUUGUUUUUAGAGAUGCUUUACAAUUUACGUUUUCAAAGCGCUUGUUUUCGGCGAUUUAUGGCCUUUUUGUGUCGGUUCGCCGUAAAAUCGAACUCACUCACUCACCCAAGUUAUAGUUAUAUGCUAGAACAAGGGAACAAAUUGAAAAUUAAUCUAUGAAAUGUUGUCUUUAAAUGUAGCCUUUAAAAUCGGCAUUUUACACAUAUGGAUCGAAAUAUUUAAAAGCGCAUCUUUUUUAUAUGAAAACAUUCUAAAUUUUUGUCCAACUUCGAGGGUCGUUCUAAAAGUAAUGACAAUCUUGCUGGAAACUUGUUCAAAGUCUGUGUAAAGACUUUAAGGUUAGUUUUUCUAUAUAAAAUAUUCGUCCGUGACUUCCACGCACUUUUGUAGUUUAAACAUCUAAGAGGUGAAAACUGCAGAAUAAGUCGCUAUGGUCUUAAGUAAAUGAAAAUACUAAUCCCAAAUUGUUUAUUCGACAAAUAUUUGCGCCCAGCCAGCAUGUUUUAAGCAAUGUCACUAGGACCUAGAUUUGCCACUAUUUCAUCUCUCAUAAAUUUUUGAAACGAUGACACUUUUGUGAGCCGCAGCGUUGUCAUAGUUCAACUGUAUACCGCAAAGGCUAUUUCUUUGACGCAUCUUUUAAUUAAAGUUAUUAGAUUGGGGUAUGUCGUUUUUCGGGCGGGCGGGCGGAUGGGCGGGCGGCGGCGUCAAACUGGUGUUUCCGGUCAAUAAGUUUUGUUUCGGUAAAGAUAUUUGAAUAAAACUUGGUAUGUAUGUAGCUUAUAUCAAGACAAAGGCUGGGAUUGAUUUUGGGUUUUCUGGGGUCAAGGUCAAGGUCACUGUUACUUAAAAUAGAAAAAGGGUUUCCGGUCAAUAACUUAACUUAGGAAUGAGCUAUCAUGAUGAAACUUGGUGUAUAGAAAACUUAUAUAAAGUUGUAGCUUGGGAUUGAUUUUGGGGUUUCUGGGACCAAGGUCAAGGUCAUUGUUACUAAAAAUAGGGUUAGGGUUAGGGUUAGAUUAGGGUUAGGGUUAGGGUUGUGCUUUAAAGUGGUGCACUGUGAUUCAGUAUACUUUUUUAUUCUUAUGAAAAGUGUUGAAAACCUGGUUUCGUGGCAUUGCCGCGUUUCUUGUUUCGUUUAUGUAUUUUUGUUUAACGGCUUCUAUCAACCUUCAGACGCUUUUUGACACUUUUAGAUUUUUUUUUUGCAAUUACCGGUAAAUCUACUUGCAACAACUGUCUGCCUGUUGUCAAAGUGACGCGGUGGCUCAUAAAAACAUAAGUCUUUUCACCUGUUAGAAGCUGUGAAAUUGUGCGAUUAUCUUAGUUUUUAGCGUUUCUGCAGCACAUUAGAUACUAUUAGCCUUCUGUUCCUCGGGUAACCUUUAAAGCUCUCAUCGGACACAAACCUUUCUUAAACUCAAGCGUUUGCUGAGAUUUUCAUAUGCUCUCCUCGUUUACAUGCCAAGAAAAGAUCUUGGAUACCGUAUACCUGGUGUCUUUAUCAAUCAGAUGUUUUGAAGAAGCAAUGCUACUUGACGUCACUGCUGUUUUGGUUCGCAAGGACGAGCCCUGUCUUUAAGGACUGCUUGACCAUAUUAGUUCCCACCUGUAGACAGAUUUCUCUGAAUCUGACUUCCCAUUUGAAGUAUGCAGUUCACUGAGUUUCUGCAUUGCAGGUAUUCGUAAAGAACAACGUCUUUAAUGUACGUUCUAUUCGCUUUUUAUAGCUACAUGUAUUUUACUUAGUGUAUAUGACUGCACCCGAUACGAAACUUAAUAUCUCAGAAACGGUGCGAACGUUUGUUUUUAAUAAAGCUUUGCAAGAGUUUAAAAAAGUUAUUUGUGUAUCAUAAAUUUAAAAGGCAAGUUUACUUUUUGUCAAACUUCUAUUGAAGCGCGCUAUCGUCAUUGUUUUUAGAAUGGCCCUCGUAUCCCAGUACCGAAAACCGUACUUAGUCUAUUAGAAAUAUAAAUUAAUUGCUUUCACGUACAUUAAGUACCUAAAUGUUUUAAAGAAUUAUAACUUAUAACUAUAGCUUAUAAUUUUUGGAAAAUGUCUAUUAAGGUGAUGGACCCGUAAUAGUGUACAUCCUUUUGAAGAGUACUAAAAUCCUACAUUAAACUUAUUUUGACGAAUUUUUCAGGAGGGCGUAUGUUCAAGCCGCACUAGGACUAAACAUUUUUCUUUAUAUUUAUUUGUUUUCUGGUAAGUUAAACUAUUUUCGAGACUUAUUAUUGAUUUAUUAUACAAACGCGACAAUUUGACAUUUGAUACACAUGUAAGUCAUUUCUGUCUGUUUAAAUUGAAUUUAGACAUUUUUGAAAAUACUAAGUUACAUGCAGUAAAAGUUCUUAUUUCGCAUUUACUCUUUAGUUUACAUAUUGUGAAAGAAGUGUUGGCAGGUGUGUUAAUUCUGCCCCAUAGUUAUUUUUGAAUGUAGAGAGCCAAAUUUUAAACUGUCUCACAGGAUUCUGCAAUAAUUUUUCAGAGUUAAAGCUAAAUUUCUGUACGAUUACAUCCUGUUACUAGAGCUCCCUAGAAAAAUAUUCUUGGCAGUUUUAUUUAUUUAUUCAUUUAUUUAUUUGUUUUAUAAUUUUUAACCGAUACUUCGGGGUUUCUUAUAUCAAAAUUAUUGGUCUAAUGAAUUCUCUGCGAACGAUUAGUACAGUGAUUAUCACUAUGAGAUUUGUAUCUAAUUGAGCUCGAGGAAAUAUCAUAAAUU